rnacentral:rRNA from 1 species
CUACGGGGUGCAGCAGUGGGGAAUAUUGGACAAUGGGGGAAACCCUGAUCCAGCAAUGCCGCGUGUGUGAAGAAGGCCUGCGGGUUGUAAAGCACUUUCGGUUGGGAGGACUGCUUCUAGCACUAAUAUUGUUGGAAGUUGACGUUACCUUCAGAAGAAGCACCGGCUAACUCCGUGCCAGCAGCCGCGGUAGAUACGGAGGGUGCAAGCGUUAAUCGGAAUUACUGGGCGUAAAGCGCGCGUAGGCGGCUAGAUCAGUCGGGUGUGAAAGCCCCGGGCUUAACCUGGGAACUGCAUCCGAUACUGGCUAGAUUGAGUACAGGAGAGGAGAGUGGAAUUACACAUGUAGCGGUGAAAUGCGUAGAUAUGUGGAGGAACACCAAUGGCGAAGGCAGCUCUCUGGCCUGAUACUGACGCUGAGGUGCGAAAGCGUGGGGAGCAAACAGGAUUAGAUACCCGAGUAGUC